rnacentral:rRNA from 1 species
AUUGACCGCUGGCGGCAGGCCUAACACAUGCAAGUCGAGCGGCGCGGCGGACGGGUGAGUAAUGCCUAGGAAUCUGCCUGGUAGUGGGGGAUAACGUCCGGAAACGGGCGCUAAUACCGCAUACUCUCAGAUGAGCCUAGGUCGGAUUAGCUAGUUGGUGGGGUAAAGGCCUACCAAGGCGACGAUCCGUAACUGGUCUGAGAGGAUGAGCAGUCACACUGUAACGGAGACACGGGCGAGACGCCGACGGGAGGCAGCAGUAGGGAAUAGGCGGCAAUGGACGAAAGUCUGACCGAGCAACGCCGCGUGAGGGAAGAAGGCCUUCGGGUUGUAAAGUAAUUUCAGUCGGGAGGCGUUACCGACAGAAGAAGCACCGGCUAACUCCGUGCCAGCAGCCGCGGUAAUAC